rnacentral:rRNA from 1 species
CCCUUAGAUGUUCUGGGCUGCACGCGCGCUACACUGACACACUCAGCGAGUUCCUGUACCGAGAGGUUCGGGUAAUCAUGUGAGCGUGUGUCGUGAUGGGGAUAGAAUAUUGUAAUUAUUGCUCUUCAACGAGGAAUUCCUAGUAAGCGCAAGUCAGCAGCUUGCGCUGAUUACGUCCCUGCCCUUUGUACACACCGCCCGUCGCUCCUACCGAUUGAAUGGUCCGGUGAAGCGUUCGGACCGUGGCCUUUGGACGGUUCGCCGUCUGUUGGCUGCGGGAAGUUCGUUAAACCUUAUCAUUUAGAGGAAGGAGAAGUCGUAACA